CAUAACUUGGUUAUAUAGUUUUUCCUUUCCUCCUCUUCAAUGCCCCAUGGAUUGGCUUUGGGAGAGUAGGGAGUUUGGGGAGGAAUUUUUCUGCCUUGUCUUCUCAUGUUUUUUGUUUGUUUUGUUCUGUUUCAUGCUUAGGUACGAAGCAGGGAGAUAGCGAGAGGCCUGGGGAGAGUGAACCGUGAACCCUCCACCGGCAUAGAGGCUUCAUUUUCUAAGACGCAGCCUCCCCACCUGGAUAAGAGAAGGUCCUGGCAGAAGGUCCCGUGCUGUGUCACUGCUCCCAGAUCAGCUGCUCUGUGUCCCUUAGAAGGCCGAGCACCUGCAGUGCUAUCAUAUUGUGUCAACGACAAUGCUCCCCCAACAAACUCUGUGACCCACUUUGGGGCGUGUAGAGAUGUUCAGCCUAUCCUUCCUAUUUGGGUGAUUAGCUUUCUUCUUCCACUUUGUACAUAUAACAUGCUCAAGACAUAUGAAAGAUACUUCCAGAUGAGUUUCCCAAAGCCCAAGGCCAGAGUCAGCUGACAGCUGUCUGUUGGCAGUAAAAAUACCCAGUGCAUUCCAGCGCAGCUCUUGGGAACUGCUGGUGUCCUCUCCCACUUCUCUCAUGCAGACACCUCAUCUAAUCUGUGUUUUGGGACUUUGUCUUACAAGGGCCACUUUUAAAGGAAGGUUACAGCCCAGGGCAACUGGCCUCCUGAGGCUGGCAGACUCCUCAGCGGCCCUUUCUGCUGCCACAGCAGUGUGUGUGGCAAGAGCAUUCUAAAGCUGGGGGCCUGGAAGUUUCACUUCUCCCAUCCCGCAUAGGUAGCUGGGUGCUGUACCUUCGCUCAGGUGCCAAGUACCUCUGCCCAUUGCACAGGUGCCUCUCAGGCUCGCACCCUCACCUUUUUUUCUCCUGAAGCCAGAGCCUGGAUGCAAGUUGAGGGGAAAUCAGAGGCUUCUCUGACUUUGUUCUGCCGUCUGUCCCCAACCUCUGCCACCUCUACCAACUGCCUUCCCACCCACGCUAGGCCUGCCUACCAUGCCCCUGUAAUGUCCCCAUAACUGCAGCACAGUUGCCCCCUGCCUUCCACACCCUGAGGGCAGCAGCAGUUUCUUUUCCUUCCCUACCCUAGAAGCACACAGAUUCCCACCCCACCGAGACUCCAUGGAGUCAGCUCUUUAGUCCUCUCUCCUUUGGCUUGUAUCUUCCUGAGUCCCAGGGAGAAACUCUUUCUCAUUUCUCCACACACAGUGCCACCUGGGAGUAGGACUUGACCUCUGUCCCAGGGUCACCAGGAGAGCGGCCCACAGGUACAACUGGCCAAUGCCAGGACCAGGGAUUUAGCUCAGUGGUUCUGCCACCUGCCUCUCAAGCUCAAGCUCAAGGACCCAAUUUUGAUCUCUGGUACCCGCCCUCCAAAAAAAAAACAAAAAAAACAAACAAACAAAAAAUUGCCCAACGCCAGGCUCAUUUUUAAAACUAACACAUACACGUGUUAUAAAGGUGGAUUCAAUGCAGGUGAGUUUCCUGCCCACUGCCCAGAAGAAAUUGACCUCAACCUUGUACAUAUAUCUUUAUGGCCAUGUCUUAAGUGCCAAUAAGCUUGCAAACAUAAGCAAAUGAGACACACCUAUCAAUCUCUUCAAUAUAUUGUGCUGUGGAGAACCUUUCUGUAUCAGCACAGAGCUACUUCAGGCCUUUAAAACAGUGCUUGUCUAAGUUUGAUCUCCAGGCCAGCUACCUCAGCCUAUUUGGGAGCUUGGUAGAAAUGCACGUUCUUAGGCCUUGUUCAGACCAGCU
rnacentral:lncRNA from 1 species